rnacentral:tRNA from 1 species
GGAGAGGUGGCUCAGAGGUUAAGAGCGCUGGCUGCUCUUCCAGAGGUCCUGAGUUCAAUUCCCAGCAUCCACA